rnacentral:rRNA from 1 species
UACGCAGGGUGCAAGCGUUAUCCGGAUUUACUGGGUUUAAAGGGUGUGUAGGCGGGCUAUUAAGUCAGUGGUGAAAUCUCCGGGCUCAACCCGGAAGCUGCCAUUGAUACUAUUAGUCUUGAAUUUUGUUGAGGUAGGCGGAAUAAGUCAUGUAGCGGUGAAAUGCAUAGAUAUGACUUAGAACACCAAUUGCGAAGGCAGCUUACUAAGCAAACAUUGACGCUGAGGCACGAAAGCGUGGGGAUCGAACAGG